GCCGUUGCCGCGGGGAACGGGCGGCGUGUCGCCCCCUGCGCAGGGCCCGGGCGGGCGGCGCGCGCCGUGCCUUUGUUCCGCGCAGAGGCAGGGCGCCCCCGGUGAGCCGCGUCGCGGGGAAGGGGCCGCGCGGCUAGGCCGCAGCUGGAGAACGAGCCUUUCACUGCGGCGUCUCAGGGGGGUUUCCCGCUUCCCCGGCCAUCUGCGGGUCAGAGCGGCGGCCGGUAGCAUCUGGCAGACACAGGCGCAGGAGGUGCAGUCGCUGGCCAGCAGGAGGGCGGAUCAGGGUCCGGCAGGGCGGUUAUGUUUGAGGCGCCAGGUCAGAGCGCAGAAAUCUCGCUAAUUUUUAUGAUGCAAAUGAAUACGGCUCAAAACUAGCAGCUGGAGACACUACGCUGGGAGCCAUUGUCUAAGUGUAAAGAGGUUUGCUGGAGCUGCGGACACCCGUCCCUUGGCUGCACGUCUUCCAUCAGCAUUACAGCGCGGAGGCACCCUGUAGUGUGCAGUCCACAGGUUCAUCCUCGCAUCACAACGACCUGUUUCCUUGUGCUGCAUGGCUCACAGAGCUCUUCACCAAGUACCGCAAGCUCUCCACUCUGUGACCCUAUGUAUUUUAUAUUGCCACUCCUCAUGCUCUUUAUACAGCCUGGAGAGCUCAUCUGGUUGUCUGAAUAGCAAAGACGCCUUCCUUCUCACUCUCCCUUGUGGACACACACACACAGAGUCUUGUUAAAUUUUCAUCGCUUUAGUGCGGAGGCAGUUGCUGAAAUCUAAAAAAUGAUUAUACGUGAUUUGGGCAAGCAGUACUUUCUAAUAAGAAAGUCAGUCUACCUGUCUUUUUAGAUAUUUCACUCAGCGUUAAGUACAAGCUAUACAGAGCAGGAAAAGAUUAAUUUUUAGUGCAGUAAAGGAUGCCCUUUAGUGGGAAGAUUACUGGUUAGAAACUUCCCUGAUGAAAAAGCUCAUCUAGUUCCCCUGUAUGAGGAGUGUCUAGUUUAAGAAUAUGGAGAGGUUCAAACUGAAAAAUACAGGACAAGAAAUAAUAAUAAAAUGCUCUGUUCAGGCACACUCACAAAUAAGUGUUUUGACUGGGGAAAUUCUAAAUGAUGUCACCAGAGGUGGAGAAGCCAUAUUUCUUCUUUUGGUUUAUAUUCUCAAACUUCACGAUAUGUUUGACUUAAUAAUCCUUAGUUCUACUCUUAAAAUAUUUUUUAGAAAUGGUAUAUGGGCUUCCAGGUCUUUCAGUUCAACUCCUUUGUUUCACAUGCAGACCCGAAAACUCCUGUCACUGAUUCAUGACUACCCCUAUUUCAGAUAUUCUGUUCUGUAUCCAACAAAAGGUAUCAUGAUUGCUUUAUGCUUUCAAUUUUUUUUUAAUAGCAGAAAAGAGGAAGGGACCGUCACUUACCAGUACAUCAAGGUGAAUCCUGAAGGGAGAACAAAGCACUGUGGAUAAAGAAGAACACAUCAAGGUGGCAUAAUCUAUAUACUGGAGCCUCACAGCUUCAUCUUGGACUCAGCAUUUUGUUCAGCAGCAUCCUCAGUAUUUACAGUGCCCGUGACACCACCCAUGACAAACUUCUGAAGGCUCUCUGGGACAUACAGUUAUUAUUAAGACUUCAUGAAGGCAAGAAGUUUGUGCAGGUAUAACUCAUAAAUUGGUCUGAAGAAUCUUAAUUGUUGUUGAUGAAGUAGAAAGAACCUAAUGUGGAACUGAGGAUGAGGUUGUGAAUUAGAAAAAAAACCCUUAUUUUCUUGUAAACUGAAAAAAAUCUGUUAUUUACAUCAGCAAGAGAAUGAAUUGGAACCCCACAGUGACAUAGUGCUGACUAACUUUUCAACUAACUAUCUCUGUGCCUCAUUAGGAUAAUAAUGCUCUCUGAUCUUUGCAGGGCAAGAGUUAGUGAUUCACUCCCUUCGUGAUGCAGGUGGCUCACUACUCCACCCAGAUAUUAAGAGGAUGGUGUGGCUCCUGUAGGAAAGAUAAUCCUUGUGGACUGAAAAGUUCAGAAUUUAGAACACCAAAGAGCAAUUAAACUGCAGGAGAAGGUUUAAGGGCUCUAUUUUCUGUGAAUCUCUUUUUAUGACAUAAAAGCUUUUAGGAAGGGGGCAACUUUGCCAUGCACAGUCUUUUCUUCUGUUUUGAAUCUCUGGAAGUGCUGGUAUAAAUACUGGGAUAAGAACUAGUGGUGUUGAAUGAUCGUGACAGUACAUAUAACAGUAUGCAACUUAACAUAGCUUUCAAAGUUGCAAGGAUGAUAGGUUUGGCGGGUUCCUGCUGGUGAUGAGGAUGUAGCAGGGAUGGCUUCAGACUGCCAAGUAGUACAAUUCUACUUAGAUUGCUUCAUGUCAAGGAAUAAUAAUGAGUAAACUUAUUAGCCCACUAAACUGUACAGAGCAGCAAAACUAGCUGCCUCUUUUGCUCUCCUGAAAGUAGUUAAGAGAAUCAAGUUUUAUAGUUUCAUAAAAACAAUUUCACUUUCUUACAAAAGAACAUACAGAUUGUCUAUUGCUUCCCCAACUAAUCAUCUUCUCAAAACAAGAUGUUGUAUUUCUUGCCCACUACUUUGUCUGAUUGUUAAUAAAUGGUUAGUUUACACAGAUUGAUGGGUUUACUGUCCUAGCUAGAAAAUUAAGUAACAGUGACUGCAAUAUUGUAACUCUGCAAUAAUGAAAGAGUAUUGCAAGUAAUCCCAUGCACACAAAAUUGACAUUAAGGAACAACUUAAUAUAAAAAACUUAGCCAUCCAUCUGGGUGUGUCAUUUCCUUUGAGUUGGCAGUUUUCCCCAUCUUGUAUUUUGGGAGAUAAAAUAUUUGUCUGACUCGCUUCAAAACUUGUACUAGUUUCUUCUGUCAACUGUGGGAGCUCAUCCCGUAUUUAAUUAAGUCAUUGCAUUUGUCUGGAGUUUCAGAAAUAAGCAAAAAACUCAUUAAAGGAGUAGGGGCAAGUCCUUGAACUCCAUCACUGAUGGUGAGGAUAUAUGUUGAGUAGUGUGAGAAAGUAAUGGAUACUGUCUGGAAUAAUAUCCCUAACUAUUUUAGACUGUUGGAGAAUUCAGAAAAAACCCUUGUAUAAUAGCCUUUCUUGCUGUGUUUUCAUUAAGUCUGAAGCAGCUCAAUAAAGGAGCUACAGCAUGAUUUAUUUUAAUCAGUUAUUACAGAGAAUUCAUUAAAAAAAAAAACUUGGCAAAAUCUUUCCUACAUUCUUUUUGCACUCCAAAUCCACAGAAUGUUUAGAUACAAUUUCACUUCUUUGUAAGCAAAAACAAACCUCCUUUACUAGUUUUCUGUCUUCUACUUACUUUUUUAUGAUGUUUCCAUACCUCUUUUAUCUACACUGGCUUUCCGGUUCAGUAUCCUUGUCCCUGUUUCUCUUUAUAACGUCACUAAGAUUAGUCAGGUUGCUGUGAGGAAUCCUAUCAUCGUAUAAGGCUUGGUAAGAGCAUUUGGCAGACUGUGGACUAGGAAUGAAGUAAGGAAAAUGAUUUAGCCAUUUUGGUCAUCUGAAAAAGACUGUUUCAAAAUUGCUUGCACACGUGAUUAUUCUUCCAGUUCAAAGUCUACAAGAAUCUGGAUUUCGACCUAAGUACUGUACAUAUGCUGGAAGUUUUACCAACUCCUUGGCCUGCCUGUUAGUUCCAUUUGACAUUUCUUAUUGUUAAGCUACAAUGUAUAUAUUCAGGCACACACAGUCCUCUUUUUGAGUAACUCCUCUAUUUAAGAAGAGGAAUACCAUGGACUAUUGAAUGAUUCAGAUAAAGGCUUAGGGACAAAGAAUGUGUCCAGCGCUGUUCCUGUAACUUACGUUUCUAGGCAUUGUGAUAAAACAAAUGCCAAUCAAAUUCCAUAGGGCAAAUGUUUUCAUCUGCAGCAACUGCUCUUUCAUGACUGAGAUAGCAUUAACUAUACCUGUUCUUGGUCAGUACCAAGAACAAACAAGAUGAAGCUGUAUCUUCAGUUCUUGCAUUUAUUUUUAUUUAUGUACUUUUGAAGGUGAGCGAAAGGAAGCAUAUGAAGAAGGAGGAUAACACUGAUCUAGGGUUCCAUAAUUGGUCAAUUGUUAAACAAAUGUCCAGUAAAAACUCUUUUUGAGGGGGCAAAAAGGCAACGACCUAAGAAAACUGUAUCAUUGUAUUGACUGGAAAAAGUUCAAGUGAUACUGAUGUAGGCAAGGAACUUUUCUGAGUACUUGCAAUCUUAAUUUAGGUCUGCCUAACUGUAUCUCUUAGAGUAAUGGGCUGACAUCUAGGAAAUUUAUAGCCAGGUCAAUAGCCAUUUAUAGGAAUUUAUAGCCAUGUCAAUACAAGCUCACGGUUCACUUCAAACUGGUCAUUUUAGCAAACAAUUUGUUCUUUCUUUCCAAGGUAUUAUAGACACUAUUGUUGAUCAGCAGCUCCCAUAUUUCCCCAAAUAUACUUUUCAGGGAAUAGAGAGGAAUUACUGAUCUUUUUGCUAGAGAAAUAUAUUUGUAAUAGUUUUAGAUGAUAGUGGCAUCAUGUAGGAAGUUUGAACUUGUAGGAGCACUAGGAAGCAGAUUAUCCAAUAUGCUGAAAACAGCAUGAAACCAAGGAAAUUUCAGAGUACAUUACCAUAUGUCCUGUAUCAAACUGACAGAAAUAUCACAGGUCCCAAGAAAUUUCAUGGAGACCAGAGAAUAAAGAAAAUCUGCACAGAAGACAUGUAUUUACUUUUUUCCUGCAAGGUUCUGGUGAUGAUCCGUAGAAAGGUGAGGCCACGCUUGUACUCCCCGUUGAAAAUGUAAGCUAUUUGUCCAGUUGCUAGUACGAUGGAGGCUGGGGAGGUAAGGAAGAGGUUAUAUCUCUACAUAAUCUCUUUCAAAGAGCCUUUGAGAGCCUGUUGAAUUCAGCUUUUUUUCUUGGAAUAGUUUGGUUGUCAAAGUUAUAUAAGUCAAAAGAAGUUGUAAACUGACCUACGUGAAGUAAAUCUGUAUUCCAGAAGUUUGGUUCUUUGCGCUCUCAAUCAUUUUGUGAUGGAGGUUGGUUUCAAGCAUGGUAAGUAUUCUGGUUAACUACUACCCUUAACCCAUAGGGCCCAUGAUAGAGCAAUGCUUUCCAGAUGACCUUGAAUAAGAAGUGGGGUGGCACAUGAGGCCUGUUAAUAGAGAAAAAAACCUCAGGGAACAACCAGUGGGAGUUACAGGGCUGUAAGCAGGACAGGAGCUGCCUUCUAACCUUACCAGACUACAAAGCUAGUGUCUGGGGGCAAGAAAUUGAUUUGCCUACUGCUUUUUUUCUAUGCUGGUAGGUGGAAAAUUGAAAACUAGAAGAGCAGUAAAGGAGGAAGAGGGCCAGUGGUGAUCAGCACAGGUCAGAAGUAAACAGUGAGGACUGGUGGAGAGAAUGGUUAGAUACUGAGUUAUGCUGGGAUGCUUGGGGAAGAGCUAGAACAGCUCUGGGUUAAGAGGGCUCAAAAGAGUCCAGAACUGGGACAUCUGUUUUAUUAGUAUACUAUGUUUAUGACCUCUAAGGGCUGAAUACACAUUGUUGAUAAAACAUGUCUGGCAGGAUUACACUUUGCUCAUGAGGAAUCCUAGAGGGGUAACUGAAGCAGAAACUGCCAAGGUUUCCUUCUCACUGAAAAGGAAUAUUUCUAACAUAUUCUAAAAGAUCCCGACUGUAAAAUGUGCAAAUUGGAUGAUUCCCAUAAUGAUACCCAUCAGCAAGCAAAUUUUCUUGACAUACUCUGUCAGAUUAUCACUUGGAAGUAACGAUUAAAGUUUACAAAAAUUACUUUAACUUGCUUAGAGAAGACAGCAUUUUCAUUUUGUUUAUCUAAUCUGUGCUAAUUGUUUGUUAAAUUGAAAAUACUUCAAAUUACUGAAGCCAGUUAUAGUGACCAAAAGGACCACAAAUCUUUGAGUAAUAUUUUAAUUGCUCUUCUACAUUUCAGUAGACUUACAGGAAUUCUUCAUAAUAGAUAAACCACAAAUCCUUAUUGACAUGGCUGCUUCUUGUCUCUUCCAUAGCCAUUACUCUGGACAUUUUCCUAGUAACCUACAUUCAGAAGAUUUGUUUAAAAAAUCUGCUAGCUGCUGGGGUGGGUAGUUGGAAACUUCCAUCUUCUUAUACAAGUGCUCUUCUUCUUAGUAUGUUCCCUAACUCUUCCCUUGCAGAUGAAUCUGGAUGUCGAUACUUCCUAUCUUGGCAGGUAGUAACAAGCAUGACAAGUUAGAUUAAGAGAAGUUGGGCAGGAAAAAUGCUAUUCCACAAUAGGAUAUAUUUUAUACUGUAAAGCCUUGAAGGCCUUCAGACAAAAAUCCUUUAUCACACAUUAUACUCUCUGGGCACCCUCUUUGGGGCACUGGAUGUUGAGCUGCAUGGAUUUCUGGUGUGCCUCAUUAUGACCAUACUUAUAUAAGUCCUAUGUGAAUUGCCUAUAGCAUGUAUUAGUGGCACAUUUUUCAAACUGUCCCAUGCACACAAGAUUCCCAAGGCAGUUGUGUGCUCAGCUAACUUUUCUUUUUGAAAAUCUAUUUCAUAAGCAGUCUUUCUCUAACAGACCAUUUCUGUAUGAUAUUUCCCAAUUAAUAACUAGGUUUUGUUAAAGAACUUGUGUUCAGAAAGAGGAAAUCCCUUAAGCUGUCUCAAGAAAUAAUGUAUUUUGUCCAUCAUAUCACAUUGUAACUAAAUAGAUAAUUAAUUAAUUAAAAUGUAAAUAAAUUACAUUGUAAAUAAAUAAUGAUAAAAGAA